GGUCUUUUCGUUAGUACUUAGUUUCACCAGCAGAGGGCGCUUGGCACUUUGGCCAUCAGUAGUUGACACCGGAUGGAGGAGCUCAGUCACUACGUGAUGAGCGAGUCAGCAGAACGUGACCAAGCGCGCUGCAAUUAUUGAUUGUUUUAUUGUUUAUUUUCCAGAAAAGUCAGAGAGGACGGACUGAGGAGAUGAACUGGACUUCUGUUGGUACCACUGAACAUUAUACACAGAACCAGAAUAUUUGCAGGAGAGAGUGACAGUUUCUCCUUCCAAAUCCAUCACUUCAUCUUUCAAUGGUUUCAGUAAAUCCUCAGAGGAUCCUGGAAACAACAAAGAUAGAUUUCAUCAGGACAUUUGGAUUCUAAUCUUGAAUCUGACUUUGAUCAUCUCAAAGUAAAUCAGUUCAAACAUCUCCAGAUGUUUCUCCUGUCCGUCAUCUCCUUUUCCAUCUGUAUCUUUUGAUGACUCACCAGUUUGAAAGGAGACCAUCAUCAUCCAGAUGAGAAGCAGCAACAUUCUUUUCUGUGGUACUGAAUGAAGAACAGAGAGAACACAGCAGCUCUUCAGCUCCAACAUGAAGCUUCAUGUUCUGCUGUGAAGCUCCUCCUCCUGCUGUGGUUUGUUUCUGUGGAGCAAAGCCAGGAAGAAACGUUUCUCUGAGUUCUUCAGUUUGCAGAGAACAAAGUCAAGACUUUUUCAAACACUUAAAAGUUCAGUAAAGUUGAUGUGUGAAACAUCUGUCACUUUUCAAAGGUAAAAUAAAUAAUUGUCCACUGA